CGGGCUAUAGCGCAGCUUGGUAGCGCACUUGUCUGGGGGACAAGGGGUCGUGGGUUCAAAUCCCGCUAGCCCGA
rnacentral:tRNA from 2 species